UGUAUUUAAGUCCACUGUACUUUAAAAACAAGCAUGGGUAUAAAUAUAGACCAAUUACCUAAUGAGACCAAAAGCAGUUAGGAAUUGACAUGAAGCCAAAUGGUUUCUUUUUAUAAAUGUUUUCUUCCCUGCACUAAUGCACUAGGCCUUAGAGGGAAGACUUUAACAGACACGUGCAGCUUUACCUUCUCUCAGGAGCACGGGGAGUCAGAGCCUGUUCCAUAUGCCAACAGUGAAUGGACAGAUGUUUCCAUCUUCAGUAAGAAGACUCAAAUAACAGAGCUUUGCUGUGCAGAUGGGCCCAUGCAUAUGCCAUACACUUCAACUCUCUGUAUUGACUAUAAAUAUCCCUCAGCACCACACUCAGAAUAAACAGACACCAGCACAUUACCCACACGUGCAUAUGAAGCCUGGGAUGCCAACAGCACACAUUCCUCUGCAUGUAUGUACAGUAGGGCUGGGAUGGAUGCAGCACCCUUUUAAAUGCACGGAAAGUGGCAUUGACUUCUCACUGAAGCACUUGUAAAGAAACUCAAGGCAGAGACUGAUAGGAAUUGUCAGAAAUAUGAUUCAAGAUAACGCGGGAAAUUCACAUUCUCCUUAUCUUCAUUUGUAUAUUGUCAAAGGAUAAGAAACUCGGUCAUAAAGAGCCAGAGAGGGAUCCAUGAGAGGGCACUCCAAAGCACAGACUGCCAGGGCCAGACUGCCAGAUCGCAUAAAGCUCCAAGCAUCAAAAAAAGUAGACCCACUGUUUAUUUCAAAAGAAAAAGAACAGGUGCAUUGUGCAGCCUAGCAUGCAGGGCACCAACCUAGAUGCAAGGAUUCGAGUUGUAGGACCUCUCUGAAGGAACAUCCAAGGCAAAUAAAGGACCAAGGAUUAAACUGGAUGUCUAGGAUGGCAGAAUAAACCAUUUACUGGGAGGCAUUUCCUGAAAUAGAACAUGCUGGGGUUAAAAUCCACCUUUAACAUAAUACUGAUGUGAGAAACUAGACCUGACUGUUUAUAGGUCAAAAUCUAACUAAGCAAGGUCACAGCAGCAAACUGUCAAGUCCAAAACCUCCUGUGACCCAGCCUACUUUAAUAGCUGAUCUCCCCAAUGAAGAAGAACAUACGUUCUAUUUCCCUUGAUCCAACUUGUGGGCCUGACUGUUCCGACCUGGCCACAAGAAUGUUUGAAGGAGGAAAGUCCAUAUGUAAAAAAAAUAAGUUUCACUUUGGCACCAAAAUGCUGACAAUUAAUGAAUAAUCACAUAUUCCACUAGGUAAGUCUGCUGCUGUGUCAUAAUGAUUAUUGACUGACCCUUCAAAUCAUUUUGAGAGCCCAAAACUACAGAUUAAAAAACAUCCCCAGGCCUAUGAAUCAGAAAGAAAGCCCCUUUAAAUAAUGAGCAGAAAUGGCAGAGUGGUUCUUAGAAUUAACAAUGUCCCUUUGGAAUAAGAAGUUACCUUUCUCCACUGGUAGAUUACUGUAGUAAAUAUUAUGUCUAUAUUGUAAUCCUAUGUCUAUAUUGUUGUGAUGUUGCCAGUGUGUGUAUAUGCAUGUUUUAUGAUUUGUUGUUAAUGUAUGGGUGCAUAAUUGCACAGGUCACAGUCUCCUAGGAAAAGUGAUGAUGGAGCCUGUAUGGGUGGAAGGAGGGCAUGACUGGAAAGCAAGGAGGGAGGUUAAACAGACGGGUCAGGGGAAGUGGUAAUAUGAUGUCAGUGGAAGGGGGGUUAGGCAAUAAAAGGAAAGAGCUGGUGAAGGGUACUUCCUUUUCCUACCUGUGGCUGUGGGAGCAGAAACACAGGACAGAAGCUGGCCCACCCCCUCCCUGUUUUGGGCCAUUACAAUGUGCCCUAAUAGGAUGGAGAUAGAGGACUGGUCGCUGGGGUGGUGCUUUCAGGAAUAAACAGGUGCCUUUGUGGCAGGCCCGGACUGGCAAUCUGUGGGUUCUGGCAGAUGCCAGAGGGGCUGCUAUAAGGUCUUAUAGAAAGUCAGUAUUUAGUGGGCUGAUGGGGGCUGUUUGGGCCUCCAUGUGGGCUGAUUGGGCCUCUGUGUACCUGAAAUGCCAGGGCCUAUUUUAAUUCUCAGUCCGAACCUGCUUAGUGGGGUAGUCAGUUGUCACAGCAUGUGGAGGUGGUCCUGGAAAAUCAGUGAGUGAAGGCUGGAACUAUGAUGGGUUCCGAAGAGAUGAAUGAACAGUGUAUAACAGGCGAACUCGAGCAUGGGGUCCCUUGGUGGCAGAAGGGUAAAUACCAUUGAGUUGGUGUACUGCGGCUGAUGGGUAACAAAAGUUAUUAGGGAUGCAGCGGGACAGAGGUACAACGCACAGGAUGGUAAUCCCAGGACCAUUUUCCCGAGGGAAUCAGGAUAGGUUAAGAAUAGGUAGGAUUAUAUAUCUGGUCUGGAAUGUUAUGGAUGUUACAAUCUCAAUUUUCGGUUCCAAAAGGUUAAUAAUUAUUACAUAUUCUUGAUGGUUUGAUGUUUUGAACAUGUUAAAGUUAAUAAAGAAGCUGUGGCUAGUGAUGGGUGAAUUUGUUCACCAGGCAUUGAUUCGCGGUGAAUUUCCACAUUUCGGCACCUGUGA